GAGGGAAAGUUGAAAAGAACUUUGAAGAGAGAGUUCAAGAGUACGUGAAACCGUUUAGAGGUAAACGGAUGGGACCGCAAGGUUCCCCUCGGAAUUCAACCUUCCGCUCGGCCAUCGGCCUCGCGUCUCGAUCCGCAAGGACGAGCACGGGGUCGAGUGGUCGUCGGUGGGCGCACUUUCCGAGGGACUGUGGCCAGGACAGGUUUCCGGGCGUCCAUGAGGCCGUGGUUUCAGGUAGCCGUCUUCGGGCGGUGCUUAGGUUCCGCGGCUGGGCAGCGUCUGGUGACUGAGGAUCGACCGCCGCGGGGCGCGCGCCUUUCUCCUCGCAUCGGGUUCGACUGGAGUGGACUGUUCGCAGUGCUCGCCGACCGCCCGGCGCGUAGCGAGGGGGCCUCCGCGCUCCAGCUCAGGGUCUCUGGUCGUUUUCGUCGGCAUCCCAUCCGACCCGUCUUGAAACACGGACCAAGGAGUCUAACAUGUGUGCGAGUCACUGGGUGGCAAACCCAAAGGCGAAAUGAAAGUGAAGGUUGACUUUGGUCGGCCCAGGUGGGAUCACCGCGAGGUGCGCACCACCGGCCCGUCUCGAUCUCUACGCCAGAUGAGGCGGAGCAAGAGCAUACACGUUGGGACCCGAAA
rnacentral:rRNA from 1 species